rnacentral:piRNA from 1 species
CCCAUAACUGGUUAGAAGAUGGAGUU